rnacentral:rRNA from 1 species
GAACGCGAAGAACCGUUACGCNGGGUCCCNGACAUGUACGGAAUCCUCCAGAGACCGGAGGAGGCGCCUUCGGGAGCCGGAACACAGGUGCNGGNAUGGCUGUCGUCAGCUCGUGUCGUGAGAUGUUGGGUUAAGUCCCGCAACGAGCGCAACCCGGGGUGCAGNUAGGUGGCCAUCAUGUCAGNUGGGCACUCUAAUGAGACUGCCGGUGACAAGCCGGAGGAAGGUGGGGAUGACGUCAAGUCCUCANGGCCCUUAUGACCAGGGCUUCACACGUCAUACAAUGGUCGGUACAGAGGGUAGCCAAGCCGCGAGGUGGAGCCAAUCUCACAAAACCGAUCGUAGUCCGGAUUGCACUCUGCAACUCGAGUGCAUGAAGUCGGAAUCGCUAGUAAUCGCAGGUCAGCAUACUGCGGUGAAUACGUUCCCGGGUCUUGUACACACC